UACAGAGGGUGCAAGCGUUAAUCGGAAUUACUGGGCGUAAAGCGCGCGUAGGUGGUUUGUUAAGUUGGAUGUGAAAGCCCCGUGCUCAACCUGGGAACUGCAUCCAAAACUGGCAAGCUAGAGUACGGUAGAGGGUGGUGGAAUUUCCUGUGUAGCGGUGAAAUGCGUAGAUAUCGAGAGGAAUACCAGUGGCGAAGGCGACUGCCUGGACUGAUACUGACACUGAGGUGCGAAAGCGUGGGUAGCAAACAGG
rnacentral:misc_RNA from 1 species